ACCAUCUUAGCGGCCAUAAUUUGUCGUCCAGACCCUGUAACGUGCCCAUGGCCCAGGCAGUACAGCCGAAUGUUGGUUCAGAUCUAGUUCAAAUAGCGCACGCACUUGAAACAAAUUAAAUGCAGUACAUUAAACCCGUGCUCCCACCUUGGCUUAUAAAUUUCGACUUGUGCGUUUUAUUUUCUGCAUAACGCUUGCCGUACUCCUCUUUUGCACAACACAGACUGGUUCACACAGAUGCAAAAUCGGAGGGCGUGAGCAGAGCAGACAGUGGAACCACAGAACACCUGGUGGAACUUUGUGGUCCGGAAAUGUGCACUACUACGUGCCGCAGUGGUCCGAACAUGGUCAGCUGCGAACUGAGGCGGUGGUGACGGAAUGAGGAUUCGGUGGUUAUGAACCAAAGUUACGAGUCUGGUGACCAGAACUCCAGGAGCUUGAGAGCGGAGACUCCAGGAUCACGGGAUAGUGGUGCUGACAGAAGUACUUGAUCAGGAGAAUCUGAGGCCAUGGCUUACUGGAUAGAAGGCAGACUUCAAAGACAGCGGGGCUUGAGCUCCUGGCGGUGGUAGGCCCACUGAAGCGGCUGAGGCACCCGCAGUUUCCACAGUAUGCAUAACAAGUCAGCCCAGCAGCCCUGCUUAGUGAGAUAGAAGUGCCCAGGCCAAACUCACUCACAUCAAUCCCUGCAAGUGAAACUGUGUCAACACUCAGGAAGCCAGUCAUGCUGCCUGUGCCAUAGCGCAAUGAAAUGGCUGUGCCAUUCUUACGGCAGAAAAUUUGUUGGUGGUAUUCUUGACAAUCGAGUAAGUAACCAAUUGAGUAACCAUUUCCAUUCUCAAGGCAUGCAUCCAGCUACAUGUACAACCAGUAACUUUGGAAAGAAAACCAGUGCAAAGUCUCUCAAGGUGCAUAAAUUCAACCUUUAUACAUGUAUAGUCUACUGCUUGUAGUCUCGAGAAUAAAGUAUGCUG